rnacentral:rRNA from 1 species
CCUACGGGCGGCUGCAGUGGGGAAUAUUGGACAAUGGGGGCAACCCUGAUCCAGCCAUGCCGCGUGUGUGAAGAAGGCCCUCGGGUUGUAAAGCACUUUCAGUGAGGAAGAACGCCUGGUGGUUAAUACCCAUCAGGAAAGACAUCACUCACAGAAGAAGCACCGGCUAACUCCGUGCCAGCAGCCGCGGUAAUACGGAGGGUGCGAGUGUUAAUCGGAAUUACUGGGCGUAAAGCGCGCGUAGGUGGCUUGAUAAGCCGGUUGUGAAAGCCCCGGGCUCAACCUGGGAACGGCAUCCGGAACUGUCAAGCUAGAGUGCAGGAGAGGAAGGUAGAAUUCCCGGUGUAGCGGUGAAAUGCGUAGAGAUCGGGAGGAAUACCAGUGGCGAAGGCGGCCUUCUGGACUGACACUGACACUGAGGUGCGAAAGCGUGGGUAGCAAACAGGAUUAGAUACCCCUGUAGUC